rnacentral:rRNA from 1 species
UAGGUAUUGUGAUAAGGUAUCUGCACCUNAAUACAUAGGGUGUAAGAAGCNAACGCAGGGAACUNAAACAUCUAAGUACCUGCAGGAAAGGACAUCAACCGAGACUCCGCAAG